AUACAGAGGGUGCAAGCGUUAAUCGGAAUUACUGGGCGUAAAGCGCGCGUAGGCGGCUACGUAAGUCGGAUGUGAAAGCCCCGGGCUUAACCUGGGAAUUGCAUUCGAAACUGCGUGACUAGAGUCUGAUAGAGGGAAGUGGAAUUUCCGGUGUAGCGGUGAAAUGCGUAGAUAUCGGAAGGAACAUCAGUGGCGAAGGCGACUUCCUGGGCCAAUACUGACGCUGAGGUGCGAAAGCGUGGGGAGCGAACAGGAUUAGAAACCCCAGUAGUCC
rnacentral:rRNA from 1 species